CUCAGAAACCAAAGGAAUUGACGGGGGCCCGCACAAGCGGUGGAGCAUGUGGUUUUAAUUCGAUGAUACGCGAGGAACCUUACCUGGGCUCAAAUGUAUGUUGACGUAUUCUGAAAGGGAUACUUCUUCGGACAAUAUACAAGGUGCUGCAUGGUUGUCGUCAGCUCGUGCCGUGAGGUGUCGGGUUAAGUCCCGUAACGAGCGCAACCCUUGUCCUUAGUUACCAGCACGUUAUGGUGGGCACUCUAAGGAGACUGCCGGUGACAAACCGGAGGAAGGUGGGGAUGACGUCAAGUCAUCAUGGCCCUUACGGCCUGGGCUACACACGUGCUACAAUGGUCGGUACAAAGGGUUGCCAAGCCGCGAGGUGGAGCUAAUCCCAUAAAACCGAUCGUAGUCCGGAUCGCAGUCUGCAACUCGACUGCGUGAAGUCGGAAUCGCUAGUAAUCGUGAAUCAGAAUGUCACGGUGAAUACGUUCCCGGGCCUU
rnacentral:rRNA from 1 species